UACGUAGGGGGCAAGCGUUGUCCGGAUUUAUUGGGCGUAAAGCGCACGUAGGCGGAUCGUUAAGUCGGGGGUGAAAUCCUGGAGCUCAACUCCAGAACUGCCUUCGAUACUGGCGAUCUCGAGUCCGGAAGAGGUGAGUGGAACUCCUAGUGUAGAGGUGGAAUUCGUAGAUAUUAGGAAGAACACCAGUGGCGAAGGCGGCUCACUGGUCCGGUACUGACGCUGAGGUGCGAAAGCGUGGGGAGCAAACAGG
rnacentral:rRNA from 1 species